GAGGGCGAUGAGAGCGGGUACUGCGAACUGCCGGGCGAUGCUGUCGCUGCCGCCGUGAUACGGAGAGCAACAGUUCCCCAGCAACACCCCUCCCCGACACAGGCACACACCCCCCGACAGGCACGCACACCCACCCCACAGUGCCCGGCUCGGCUGCGCCUCCUCUAUUGGCCCAGGAAGUCCACCCAGCCCCGCCACGCACAGCCCAGAAGGAAAGAAAGCCUCAUGCCUGAGCCGAGGGGAGCACCAUGGAUCUGACAAAAAUGGGCAUGAUCCAGCUGCAGAACCCUAGCCACCCCACGGGGCUGCUGUGCAAGGCCAACCAGAUGCGGUUGGCCGGGACUCUGUGCGAUGUGGUCAUCAUGGUGGACAGCCAGGAGUUCCACGCCCACCGGACGGUGCUGGCCUGCACCAGCAAGAUGUUUGAGAUCCUUUUCCACCGCAAUAGUCAACACUAUACUCUGGACUUCCUCUCGCCAAAGACCUUCCAGCAGAUUCUGGAGUAUGCAUAUACAGCCACGCUGCAAGCCAAGGCAGAGGACCUGGAUGACCUGCUGUAUGCGGCCGAGAUCCUGGAGAUCGAGUACCUGGAGGAGCAGUGCCUGAAGAUCCUGGAGACCAUCCAGGCCUCAGACGACAAUGACACGGAGGCCACCAUGGCCGAUGGCGGGGCCGAGGAAGAAGAGGACCGAAAGGCUCGGUACCUCAAGAACAUCUUCAUCUCGAAGCAUUCCAGCGAGGAGAGUGGGUAUGCCAGUGUGGCUGGACAGAGCCUCCCUGGGCCCAUGGUGGACCAGAGCCCAUCAGUCUCCACCUCAUUUGGUCUUUCAGCCAUGAGUCCCACCAAGGCUGCAGUGGACAGUUUGAUGACCAUAGGACAGUCUCUCCUGCAGGGAACUCUUCAGCCACCUGCAGGGCCUGAGGAGCCAACUCUGGCUGGGGGUGGGCGGCACCCCGGGGUGGCUGAGGUGAAGACGGAGAUGAUGCAGGUGGAUGAGGUGCCCAGCCAGGACAGCCCUGGGGCAGCCGAGUCCAGCAUCUCAGGAGGGAUGGGGGACAAAGUUGAGGAAAGAGGCAAAGAGGGGCCCGGGACCCCGACUCGAAGCAGUGUCAUCACCAGUGCUAGGGAGCUGCACUAUGGGCGAGAGGAGAGUGCUGAGCAGCUGCCACCCCCAGCUGAGGCUGGCCAGGCCCCCACUGGCCGACCUGAGCACCCAGCACCCCCACCUGAGAAGCAUCUGGGCAUCUACUCUGUGUUGCCCAACCACAAGGCUGACGCUGUAUUGAGCAUGCCGUCUUCCGUGACCUCUGGCCUCCACGUGCAGCCUGCCCUGGCUGUCUCCAUGGACUUCAGCACCUAUGGGGGGCUGCUGCCCCAGGGCUUCAUCCAGAGGGAGCUGUUCAGCAAGCUGGGGGAGCUGGCUGUGGGCAUGAAGUCAGAGAGCCGGACCAUCGGGGAGCAGUGCAGCGUGUGUGGGGUCGAGCUUCCUGAUAACGAGGCUGUGGAGCAGCACAGGAAGCUGCACAGUGGGAUGAAGACGUACGGGUGCGAGCUCUGCGGGAAGCGGUUCCUGGAUAGUUUGCGGCUGAGAAUGCACUUACUGGCUCAUUCAGCGGGUGCCAAAGCCUUUGUCUGUGAUCAGUGCGGUGCACAGUUUUCGAAGGAGGAUGCCCUGGAGACACACAGGCAGACCCAUACUGGUGAGUUGACUUGGAUUCUUAUUCUCCAGGUUUUCCACAGUGUUGGUUGCACAUGGACAUUAACUGUCUGGGUGGCAACCUCUUUUUAGCAAAUGUGACAUCCAGUAAUUUCCUGGGGGAGCUGUGAGUAGGAUGGGCUUCUGCCACAUUCAGCUACUCUUGUCUGUGUGGCUGGCCCAGCAGAAGUUUACAAGUAUGACAUGGCCCCAUGAGAAUGGCUGUCCUAGAUUAGGCCAAGAUCUGUCUCUAACCGGCCACCGAGAUCUCAUUUUCUUGGAGGUAUCUAGUAUGCUCUUGUUGAGGCCUUAGUCUGUGAUGUUAUCAAAACAUCUUCUUCCCUUGGUCAGGAAAUCUCUCACACCCAUCUGAUGAAACUGAAACCCUCGUGUGGCCACAGUUGGCUGGUCCUCCCUCUGCGAGAGCUGAGACAUUGUCUAAAAUCAGCGUGUACGCAGGAUGCAUUUGAACAAUAUUAACUCACAAUGAUAGAGCUUUAUUUGAUUUCAAAGGGAUUGAUUUCACCGCACCAAAGUCAUCUGAUUAUUGUGAUCAGAGUCGUUGUCAUCACAUCAUCACAGCAGCUCACACUUAACACUCACAGUGAGGCAGGCACUGUUGUCAGUGCUUUAUGUCAGGGGUCCCCAACCCUGGGAUCAUGGACUGGUGUCUGUGGUGGUCUGUUAGGAACCAGGCUGCGUGGCAAGAGGCAAGCGGUGGGCGAGCAAGUGAAACUUCAUCUGUAUUUACAGCUCUUCCUCAUUGCUCGCUUUACCACCUGAGCUCCUCCUCGUGUCAGAGCAGCAGCAGCAGCAUUAGAUUCUCAUAGGAGCACAGACCCUAUUGUGAACUGUGCAUGCAAGGGGUUUAGGUUGCACGCUUCUUAUGAGAAUCUAAUGCCUGAUGAUCUGUCACUGUCUCUCGUCACCCCCAGAUGGGACCAUCUAGUUGCAGGAAAACAAGCUCAGGGCUCCCACUAAUUCUACAUUAUGGUGAGUUGUAUAAUUAGUUCAUUAUAUAUUAUAAUAUAAUAAUAGAAAUAAAGUACACGAUAAAUGUACUUUAAUGUACAAUAAAUGUACAAUAAAUGUAAAUGUAAUGUGCUUAAAUCAUCCCAGGACCACCCCCCUGUACCCUGCUGUAUGUGAAAAGGUUUUCUUCCAUAAAACUGGUCCCUGGUGCCAAAAAGGUUGGGGACCACUGCUUUACGUGAUCCCAUCUGGCCAAUCUCUCAGUGACCCUGUAAGGUAAGGUAGGAAGCUACUCUUAUGUCAUAGAUGAGGAAACUGAGGCUGAAAGGAGGGAAAGUGACUUGCUGGAGUUGGUAGUGGGGACAGGCGUGGUAGAGCCAUAUAGUUCAGAGCUGAGACUGCAUGGGUUUAAUCCUGACUCUGCCACUUCCUAUUUGUGGGGCCAUGGAUAAAUUAUUUAAACUCUCUUAAUUUAGAUUUCUCAUCUAUUAGAAAAGUGGAGUAAUAUUAGUGUCUACCUCAUAGCAUUAGGGUUGUUGUGGGGAUGAAAUAAGGUAUUUUAUUUGAAGUAUUUCAUGGAGUGUUUGGCUCAUAGUAAGCACUCAAUAAAUAGUAGUAGGUAUAUUUAAUGUAAUAGAUAUUUAUUGAGUUUCUACAAUGUGCCUGGCACUGUUUAGGCAUUUAAGAUGUAGUAGUGCACGAGACAGACGACAUUGCUGCCUCUCAUGGAACUGAGCUUCUAGCUGGGAGACAGAAUCAGCAAAUAAAUGUACGAUAUCAUGUCUGCUUAUACAUAUUAAGUGCUACUAGAAAAGGAUAAGGAGUACAGAAUAAUAGAGAGAAAAGAAAUAUUGUGGAUAUUUAGGGAGAAAUGUUGUGGAUAGAAUGGUUAGGGAAGGCCUCUGCAAGAAGGUGGUAUCUGGGCAGAGUCUUAAAAAGUGAAGGAGUGAGCCACUCAAAAAUUUCUGGGAAGAAUGUCUAAGCAAAGGGAGUGAGCACUUGCAGAAGCCCUGAGGCUGGAUCAAGCCUGACAAGUUUAAGGACCCGCACGCAGAGCAGUGGUGGCCAGAGAGCUGGGAGUGACAUGUAGAGAGUGGUGAGGGAUGAGGACAGGAUCUGUCAAGUCUCUCAGCCCUGGUAAAAGAUUUGGGUUUUAUUCUGCAUGUGCUAAGAGUCCUUUGGAGGGUGACAAAAUAUUUGCAAAUCAUAUAUUUGAUGAGGAACUUAUAGCUAGAAAUAGAGGUCUUAUAAUUCAAAAAACAUAAACAAAUAAUCAAAUUAAAUAAUGGGCAAAAGUUCUGAACAGACAUGUCUCCAAAGAUAGACAAAUAGCCAAUGAGCACAUGAAGAAGAUGCUCAACUGCAUUCACCGUCAGGGAGAUGCAAAUCAAAACCACAGUGAGAUACUGCUUCACACCCACUACAAUGUGGCUACAAUAAAAAAUACAGAUAGUUACAAGUGUUAUCAAAGACGUGGAAAAACCAGAACUUUCAUACUAUGCUGGUGGGAGUGUAAAAUGGUGCAGUCACUUUGGAAAACAUUCUGGUGAUUCCUCAAGAGGUUAGUUGAGGCAGGCAGAUCACGAGGUCAGGAGAUCGAGACCAUCCUGGCCAACAUGGUGAAACCCCGUCUCUACUAAAAAAAUACAAAAAUUAGCUGGGCAUGGUGGCAUGUGCUUGUAAUCCCAGCUACUCGGGAUGCUGAGGCAGGAGAAUCACUUGAACCAGGGAGUCGGAAGUUGCAGUGAGCUGAGAUUGCGCCACUGCACUCCAGCCUGGCGUCAGAGUGAGACUCCAUCUC
rnacentral:sRNA from 1 species